CCUACGGGGGGCAGCAGUGAGGAAUAUUGGUCAAUGGACGAGAGUCUGAACCAGCCAAGUAGCGUGAAGGAUGACUGCCCUAUGGGUUGUAAACUUCUUUUAUAUGGGAAUAAAACGUUCCACGUGUGGGAUUUUGUAUGUACCAUAUGAAUAAGGCUCGGCUAACUCCGUGCCAGCAGCCGCGGUAAUACGGAGGAUCCGAGCGUUAUCCGGAUUUAUUGGGUUUAAAGGGAGCGUAGGUGGAUUGUUAAGUCAGUUGUGAAAGUUUGCGGCUCAACCGUAAAAUUGCAGUUGAAACUGGCAGUCUUGAGUACAGUAGAGGUGGGCGGAAUGCGUGGUGUAGCGGUGAAAUGCUUAGAUAUCACGAAGAACUCCGAUUGCGAAGGCAGUUCACUGGACUGCAACUGACACUGAUGCUCGAAAGUGUGGGUAUCAAACAGGAUUAGAUACCCCAGUAGUC
rnacentral:rRNA from 1 species